rnacentral:siRNA from 1 species
AUCAUUGCAAUUGUUGGUCU